AAUACGUAGCUGAGCUGCGUUAAACAUCCAGCUAUACUCUCUCCCAGCAUCCAGACAGCCGUCGGUACAGACUCUAACUCAAGCACUCUAACUCAAGCACUCUAACUCAAGCGCUCAAAGACAGAUUUGUGGAAGAUGAGCCACAGGUUUGUCGGGAACAUCUAUGGAUUCCCUGAAGAUGCGAUAAGCUUAGGCCACCAGAACGACGGUGCUGGCAAACUAUGGACAGCCCUGGCAAACACGAAACAUGGACCAGUCGGUGGCAAGGCGAAGGGGGGCACCUGCUGGUAUUCCUACGCGGGACAUGAGUACACCACAAAGGACUUCUCUUGGCUAAUAGCACCAGAAGGGAGAGUGGUGUCUUUCAGAAACAUCGGCAAUGGCCCUCCUCCGAAAGUGAUAUGUUUUGGACGACAGAGCGACAACCAGGAAUACUACGCUGCAUUGGCAGUGUGUGAUCAUGGUUUGAUUCCUGGCAAGGCAAGAGAGAAUAAAUGCUGGUACCCGUAUGGAGGCAAGGAACAUGUCACGUCCGACUUCUUCUGGCUUGUUAGCGUAUAGACCAUCAGUAGACAAUGUGGAAAAUACUCAUCCUGGCUGGAAUUGAUCUGCAGCAUGUUUUCCUGGACAGGAGACGAAAGGGAUCGGGUGUUUAAUGACGGAGUCGCAGGCUUAUUUAAUGACGGAGUCGCAGGCUUGUUGACGUGGAUGAUACAGGUCAUCACUACCAACUUUUAUAAGACGAUGCUGAUGAUUGGAUGGUGUCCUCUCAUUCUGCCUACAGCUGAAAACAACACAAGUCAUGGUCUGUUGGUCACAACUGUGUAGGCAGAAUGAGAAAGCGAUAGAUAAUACUUGACCCCACCUCCCCACAAGAAAAAAUGGAAGAGCUUGAUUUUUUCUGAUUAAUUAGUUUUCUCCAUUAAUUAUCUUUAUGAAGUGUAUCGCAAACUUGAAUCUCGUUUGCAGAGUCUAAAGAGACCCUUCAUGAAGGUCGAAGGACAAAGCUUCAGUUUUUAGAUGCCUCUGGUCAUCUCUUGAAACUGAAAUUGUCGAUUGAUGAUGAUGAAGAUGAUGUCAUUACUAUUAUAUUAAUGAUGAUAAUGACAGGGAAAUAUGAGGUUUCUGGUAUACAAAUGUCUAUAUUUCAUAUAUAUCAUGUUAUCUACUAUACUAUAAUAUGAAUACUCAUAUUCCUGAUGUAUUUUCGCUAUUAUUUGCCGAUGAUGUAUCAACUGUAUCAGACACUGCUUUACAGCUCCAAAAGAAAAUUAAUAUUGUUGAAAAAUUCUGUGCAGAUGCAGGAAUGAAAGUUAAUCUGAACAAAACAAAAAUUAUUGUUUUUAGAAAUGGUGGUCCUCUCCGUUCUUAUGAGAAAUGGUUUUUAAAUGGUGAACAAAUAGAAGUUGUGAAUAUGUACAGAUAUCUUGGGAUUGUGUUCGCUCCUAAACUGUCAUGGACUAAAGCCAAAUCCUGUUUAGCAGCUCAAGCAAGCAAAGCUAUAUUCUCCAUCUAUAAUUACCAGAAACAUUUUGGAUGUAUUAAUCACAAGGACAUUUUUAAGAUAUUUGACUCCAUUAUUACACCUAUUCUGUGUUAUGGAUCAGAGAUUUGGGGAACCACUUAUUGCAGACAUAUUGAAACUGUACAUUUUAAGUUCUGUAAGACUUUUCUCAAAGUUAGCAAGUAUACCAACAAUAGCAUGGUGCUUGGAGAGUGUGGCAGACUCUCACUGCAAUACCAUUAUACCUCUAGAUCAAUAAUGUACUGGUGCAGACUGUUGCAGCUACAACAUCAUAGACUUCCUUAUCAGGCCUACCAAAUGCUCAAAUCUCUCGAUGAUAAUAAUAAAUCUACUUGGGCUUCACAUAUAAGACAAAUCCUUUUUUAGUAUGGUUUUGGGUUUGUAUGGAUCUCACAAGAAAUUGGCUGCAUUAAAACAUUUAUAGCCAUCUUCAAGCAGCGAUUUUAUGACUGCUUCCUUCAAUAUCGGCGUUCCUCACUUGACUCUUCAUCUAAAUGUAAAUAUUAUUCACAAUUUAAAUCUUUACUUAAUGUCGAACACUACUUGUCAUGUGACCUCCUCCCAUAUCAAAGGAAAGUUAUGGCUAUGUUCCGCUGUAACAACUUUAGAUUAGCAGUGGAAACCGGCCGCCACACAAAUACACCCUAUGAUCAACGUCUCUGCCUUUACUGCCACUCUGUUGGUUUAAACUAUGUUGAAGAUGAGUUCCAUGUUCUACUCAUCUGUGGUAAAUAUUCUGAAAUAAGAAAUAAAUGUUUCACAACCCACCAGACCCACCCUCCAACAAUUGAAACUUUUGUGCGUUUAAUUACUCGCAACGACAUAAAUUAUCUAAGAUCAUUAACUACAUUCCUCUCCACCGUAUUAAAACUAAGACAUAAAUCCACUACUACUAUCAAUUGACCCUGUACUCCAAUCGUCAUCCUAUAUCCAGCAUGUAUGUAUUCUUUAUAAUUGCACUAUGUUGUAUUAUGGGCCAAGGGCCUACAUUACUGAAAUAAAAUGUCUGUCUGUCUGUCUGUCUAAUAUGAAUACAAUCACGAUUGUGUUAUGUUAUUGUCAUGGCCAAGUCCAUUUCUAAAUUAGGGGUGGCCUGAUUUUUCUCAUCCUGCCUGCACUUUUAUUAGGUCUGUGGGCAGAAUGAGAGUAACUGUCUGACACAGACAAGCAUCAUAUGUAUGAAAUACUGUUAUAUCCUUCUAGAUUGCGAAUUGAAUAAUAAAUGCUAAAACAAUUUAGUAGCAGUUAAAA
rnacentral:lncRNA from 1 species